rnacentral:rRNA from 1 species
GACGAACGCUGGCGGCGUGCUUAACACAUGCAAGUCGAACGGAAAGGCCCUGCCUUUGUGCGGUGCUCGAGUGGCGAACGGGUGAGUAACACGUGAGUAACCUGCCCUUGACUUUGGGAUAACUUCAGGAAACUGGGGCUAAUACCGGAUAGGAGCUCCUGCUGCAUGGUGGGGGUUGGAAAGUUUCGGCGGUUGGGGAUCGACUCGCGGCUUAUCAGCUUGUUGGUGGGGUAGUGGCUUACCAAGGCUUUGACGGGUAGCCGGCCUGAGAGGGUGACCGGCCACAUUGGGACGGAGAUACGGCCCAGACUCCUACGGGAGGCAGCAGUGGGGAAUAUUGCACAAUGGGCGGAAGCCUGAUGCAGCGCCGCCGCGUGGGGGAUGACGGCCUUCGGGUUGUAAACCGCUUUCGCCUGUGACGAGGCGUGAGUGACGGUAAUGGGUAAAGAAGCACCGGCUAACUACGUG